rnacentral:rRNA from 1 species
GCCUUACAUGAUACACAUAUUUUGUUAUCGCCAGAGAACUACAAGUGAAAAACUUCAAACUCAAAGGACUUGGCGGUGUCCCAUAUCGACCUAGAGGAGCCUGUCCUAUAAUCGAUACCCCCCGGUCCAACUAAACUUUUUUACCAACUUUAAGCCUAUAUACGGCCGUCGACAGUCUACCCCAUGAGGAACCAAUAGUAGACACAACAGCUAACCCCGCUAACACGUCAGGUCAAGGUGUAGCACAUGUUGAGGAAGAGAUUGGCUACAUUUUUUGUCAUAAAAAAUACGAAAUGCAUCAUGAAACACUGCAUGAAGGUGAAUUUAGUAGUAAGAUUAAACAAGAGUGUUUAUCUUAACAACGCUCUGGGACGCGCACACACCGCCCGU